rnacentral:rRNA from 1 species
UUUCGCAAUGCCCGAAAGGGUGACGAAGCGACGCCGCGUGAGUGAGGAAGGCCUUCGGGUUGUAAAGCUCUGUCAGGAGUUAAGAAAUAUAAGUGUGCUAAUACCACAUUUAUUUGACGAAGGCUCCAAAGGAAGCCACGGCUAACUCUGUGCCAGCAGCCGCGGUAAUACAGAGGUGGCAAGCGUUGUUCGGAAUUAUUGGGCGUAAAGAGCACGUAGGUGGGUUUGUAAGUCAGAUGUGAAAGCCUUCUGUUCAACGGAAGAAUUGCAUCUGAAACUGCGAGUCUUGAGCGUAGGAGGGGAGAAUGGAACUUCUGGUGGAGCGGUGAAAUGCGUAGAUAUCAGAAGGAACGCCGGCGGCGAAAGCGAUUCUCUGGCCUAUUACUGACACUCAGUGUGCGAAAGCUAGGGGAGCAAACGGGAUUAGAUACCCCGGUAGUCCUAGCCGUAAACGAUGGGCACUAAGUAGAGGGGUUUU